rnacentral:rRNA from 1 species
UACGUAGGGCGCAAGCGUUAUCCGGAAUUAUUGGGCGUAAAGAGCUCGUAGGCGGUUUGUCGCGUCUGCCGUGAAAGUCCGGGGCUCAACUCCGGAUCUGCGGUGGGUACGGGCAGACUAGAGUGAUGUAGGGGAGACUGGAAUUCCUGGUGUAGCGGUGAAAUGCGCAGAGAUCAUGAGGAGGACCAGUGGCGAAGGCGGGUCUCUGGACAGUUCCUGACACUGAGACACGAAGGCCAGGGGAGCAAACGGG